GCUUACUUGAUUUGAAGUCUGGACCAUUAAAUUGGAUGCAUGAUAACUAAGUGGGCCAUUUUUGGUAAGCAGAACUGGCGCUGUGGGAUGAACCGAACGUUGAGUUACGGCGCCUGAUUAUAGACGCUCAUCAGAUACCACAAAAGGUGUUGGUUGCUAUAGACAGCAGGACGGUGGCCAUGGAAGUCGGAAUCCGCUAAGGAGUGUGUAACAACUCACCUGCCGAAGCAACUAGCCCUGAAAAUGGAUGGCGCUAGAGCGUUUAGCCUAUACUCAACCGUUGUGGCACACGCUGCGGUAAGCAAUUAUCGUAUUUGGUGCUUUUAUGGCACAUGCGUGCUAGUCAUGCCUCAACGAGUAGGAGGGUCGCGGCGGUAUGCUUUGAAGGCUUAGCGGCGUGAGCCGGGCUGGAGCUGCCGUCGGUGCAGAUCUUGGUGGUAGUAGCAAAUACUCAAGCGAGAACCUUGAGGACUGAAGUGGAGAAGGCUUCCAUGUGAACAGCAGUUGAACAUGGGUCAGUCGAUCCUAAAGCAUCGGCGAAGGCCGUUCAGAAGCGGUGUCGGUUAUGUGGCAGUAUGCUGUUUCGGCAGUAUGCUGUCCGGCUAUAGGCGCUUGCUCGUUUAUAGUCGCCGCACCUGCUGAAAGGGAAUUGGAUUAAUAUUUCCAAACCUAACAGCGGAGAUUGGUUGCUCAUUAGGCUGCACGGGCCUUGCGCUCGUGUCAGUCGGGGCAACGCGCUGCGGUAACGCAAACGAACUCGGAUACGCUGACUGGAGUCCCGGGAAGAGUUGUCUUUUCUUCAUAAAGAGUCGACUCCAUGGAAUUGGUUCAGCCAGAGAUAUGGAGAUGGCGUCUGAAAAGCAUCGCGCUUCUUGCGAUGUCCGGUGCGCUCCAAGCGGCCCUUGAAAAUCCGAGGGAGAGAAUGAUUUUCGUGUUAGAUCGUACCCAUAUCCGCAGCAGGUCUCCAAGGUUAAAAGC
rnacentral:rRNA from 1 species